UAAACACAACAGCAUAAAGUGCAUUUUGCAUCCCAAAGCAGAAUCUGAUUGGAUCGUUUCUCUUUCCCAUUCUGGUAUGGUCCCGCCAUCUUUGUUUCUGUAUCAACUGACUGCACUUAUGGAUGACCAGAGGCGCCCUCAUCUGGAUGACGUCCAAAUUACAACACUAAGAGAAGGCUUAAGUGGACAUUAUUAGUGAGUCGACCGGAACCAAUUUUAAUCUAAUAAACCAUUAAUCGACAAUUAACUGCAAGUCUAUUAACCGUUUGCAUCCCUAGAUGAGAAGAUAAAAGAGGAGAGAAAGAGGUUCAGCUAAUGUCCCUGCAUUAUCCAGCAGAGCCUUAUUGAUCAUCAGCUAUUGUGUAACCAUCGCAUAUUUAGAAUCAAUGCUUGUGUUAUGACGUCAGUCAAUAAUUAUUGUCUUUUUUAAAAGAAAAAAUAUGAGUAACACAAAACUCACUUUCACAAAAUGUCCUCAUAAAAUUCAGAUUAUAAAGUUUGUUAGAAAAAACACCAGACAGUCUCACUUUUUAACCACGGUUACAUAACCGCCAACAUCCACACAUCCUCGCAGCCACAGAGCCCGCUUGGGAAUCAGCCGCAUCAACCCUAACGCUAGAAACGGGAACGCUGCCACUUCCUUUUGUGUGAACAGGGAAGCUUUGCAGAGCAGGAGUAAACCAGAGGGCAGCAGUAAGUGUAAAGCAGCAGUCCCUCCCAGACAGGGCUGUCAAAGAGAAAACUGCAGCCUCUGAGAUAGGCGAGGCUAUAAGACGAAGAACUCAAGAGCAAAGGAACUUCUGACACUCAGUGUGGACUUGACUAAGUGUGGGAAAACUGCUGAGACUCUCACAGCAGGAUGGAUGCCAGAGAGGAGACAGUGGGUCUCCUGAACAAUGUCUGGCUCAAGCUUCAAAGUCUGCCCAGUGCCCACCCUCUGGAGCUGGGAGGCUUCUUCAUCCUCCUAAUCUUCAUCUUUAUGGUGAUUUUCAUGAUGGUGCUCACCUGCGUGAGCCACUGCUGCUGCUGCUGCUGUAAGUCCAAACAGGACGAGCUCGACGUCUGAGGGAACAUUUUUACUUUCAGGCAGGUUUUUCCUGCCGAUCCACUCACCUCUGUGCUUAGAAAUCAGACAUAAGCUGCACAGCGUGUGCACAAAAAAGGAGGCGGUGCCACAGCACAACAAAACAAACUCUUGGAUUGCGUUCUAGGCUAACAAAUCACACCUGUUAAUGCGGCCAGGCUUUCAGGAGAAGCAGUAUUCCUUUGGAGCAUCCCUGCCUGCAGAGCAAGAGCAGCUCAUCUACCAGGAGGAGAAGGCGGGGCCGGAAACAGCUGACUUAUAAGCAAAUACGCAGCACCGAACAGGCUUACAGGUCUUCAAAAAAACCACAAGCUGCUCAGUGUUAGAUGAGCGGAAAGCCAUAUUUGUUUGAGAAUGAUUUAUACUGACCUUGUAUCAUUCCUCUGUGAGGAAUAUUAGAAUGGAAAGUUGAUGUUUUAACUUUAUAAGCAAGUAAAUAGUUGCAUGUUGGGAUACACUAUGAGGAAAAUGGAUUCUAAUCUUUUUUUUCCCCAAUUUUUUUGUUGUUUUCAGGAUUUAAAUUAUAAUAGAUUAAUUUCAAUGUUUGAAUUGAGAAACAUAAAAAAAGCACAACACAGGAACACAGCUGAAAGUUGUUUAAGGAUCAGAUAGCAAAGUCUCUUGUUCCAAUUUAAGCUCAUAAAGUGGAGAUUUAUGUAGUGAUGUUUUUCCAGUGAGGAAGAGGAAACCAGGAGAAAUGUCAUCUGAAAGCGACGGAGUAGAGCACAAACAAAACACGCUACGGAGGAAUUUAUAAGAUCUGUGUUGAGAGAACAUUUUUGACAAAACUAUAAAUCAAAAAAAGUUAUGCAAUUAAACCUAAACACUGAUGCAUUCAUUUUGUCACAUCUGCUACUCUCAAUAAUCAGUGAAUCAUUAGCGUAAACAAAUAACACUAUAAACAAUGAAAGUCUCUCCCUUGUGGCUCAAAAUUGCAUUAAAAAAAUUAAAACAGCUAAGGCACGGCUGUAAAUUUAACUAUGUUUGAUAUUUCUGAGACUUUCAGGCGAUUUGCCUCUAAAAUAAAUUUGCCUUUUAAAGUGUUCAUUGGAAGCAGGGAACAGAAGGACAAGUCUGCCCCCUGCUGUUCUGAAAUUGAAACUUGGACAUUCAAAGAAGGGAAUAAUGUUUAUAUCUGAAACUGUUUAAUGAGCUCAAGUACACUGACGUGAGAUUUUUACUGCAUCAUAAUGUAGUGAAGUGAUUUUUAUACAAUAAAAAUGUUGUUUCUAAAGGA